CAGCAGCCGCGGUAAUACGAAGGGUGCAAGCGUUAAUCGGAAUUACUGGGCGUAAAGCGUGCGUAGGCGGUAAGUUAAGUCUGCUGUGAAAUCCCCGGGCUCAACCUGGGAAUGGCAGUGGAUACUGGCUCGCUAGAGUGUGUCAGAGGAUGGUGGAAUUCCCGGUGUAGCGGUGAAAUGCGUAGAGAUCGGGAGGAACAUCAGUGGCGAAGGCGGCCAUCUGGGACAACACUGACGCUGAGGCACGAAAGCGUGGGGAGCAAACAGGAUUAGAUACCCCAGUAGUCCCUGUCUCUUAUAC
rnacentral:rRNA from 1 species